rnacentral:rRNA from 1 species
AACGAACGCUGGCGGCAUGCCUAACACAUGCAAGUCGAACGAGACCUUCGGGUCUAGUUGCGCACGGGUGCGUAACGCGUGGGAACCUGCCCUUAGGUUCGGAAUAACUCCCCGAAAGGGGUGCUAAUACCGGAUAAUGUCUUCGGACCAAAGAUUUAUCGCCUUUGGAUGGGCCCGCGUUGGAUUAGCUAGUUGGUAGGGUAAAAGCCUACCAAGGCGACGAUCCAUAGCUGGUCUGAGAGGAUGAUCAGCCACACUGGGACUGAGACACGGCCCAGACUCCUACGGGAGGGAGCAGUGGGGAAUAUUGGACAAGGGGCGAAAGCCUGAUCCAGCAAUGCCGCGUGAGUGAUGAAGGCCUUAGGGUUGUAAAGCUCUUUUACCCGGGAUGAUAAUGACAGUACCGGGAGAAUAAGCUCCGGCUAACUCCGUG